rnacentral:rRNA from 1 species
GACGAACGCUGGCGGCGUGCUUAACACAUGCAAGUCGAACGGAAAGGCCCCUUUGGGGGUACUCGAGUGGCGAACGGGUGAGUAACACGUGAGUAACCUGCCCUUGACUUCGGGAUAACUUCAGGAAACUGGGGCUAAUACCGGAUAGGAAUCCUUGCUGCAUGGUGGGGGUUGGAAAGCUUCGGCGGUUUUGGAUGGACUCGCGGCUUAUCAGCUUGUUGGUGGGUAGUGGCUUACCAAGGCUUUGACGGGUAGCCGGCCUGAGAGGGCGACCGGCCACAUUGGGACUGAGAUACGGCCCAGACUCCUACGGGAGGCAGCAGUGGGGAACAUUGCACAAUGGGCGGAAGCCUGAUGCAGCAACGCCGCGUGCGGGAUGACGGCCUUCGGGUUGUAAACCGCUUUCAGCAGGGGCGAAGCUUGUGGUGACGGUACCUGCAGAAGAAGCACCGGCUAACUACGUG